AUCAAUAUAUCAAUGUUGGAAGACCCCAUUUCAGGUUGGUAUUAGGCAUUCAAUCUUGAAUGUGGUUUCAUUAUGGAAGUUUCAAAGAGUUUCAGGUCUGAGUUUCUCUUUCAGAAAUUUAGUAAACCUUGUUACAAACAUAGGAUUUCUAGAUGUUUUGGGCUCAUGUUUAGAAUUCUGCAGAAUUUAAAGUUAUUUAUAUUCUUGAAAUGUUUUCUCUGUGCUGUAAAUUUAGUAUUGAGCUGCAGGCUACUGAGGUAUUACUUCAAGCUGAUUCGAUCCAAGCAAUUGCCCCAGGACAUCAAAGCUGCAUCAGGACAUCAAAGCUGCAUCAGAUAGAUCUACCAAGGGAGAGACAAUGCAAAGACCGAAAACAUGAACCGGAUCGGGUCAUCGAAAAGGCAACCUCAUUUUGGAUAUUAGAGACAAGUAUAUAAUAUUAGAUGCUUUUCAUUGUGAGAUAUUGAGUACAUUGUGUAUGUAUAUGUUUUGUCUCUAAGUAUAUUGAGUAAACAUUGUGUAUGAAUAUAUAACAUUGGAUAUUUAGCAAAGUAUGAGAAUAUUUUGAUUUCAUUGUGA